GAUGAACGCUGGCGGCGUGCCUAAUACAUGCAAGUCGAGCGAACGGACGAGAAGCUUGUUGCUCUGAUGUUAGCGGCGGACGGGUGAGUAACACGUGGAUAAUCUACCUAUAUGACUGGGAUAACUUCGGGAAACCGGAGCUAAUACCGGAGAAUAUUUUGAACCGUAUGGUUCAAAAGUGAAAGACGGCCUUGCUGUCACUAAUCGAUGGAUCCGGGCUGCUUUAGCUAGUUGGUAAGGUAACGGCUUACCAAGGCAACGAGGCAUAGCCGACCGGAUAGGGGGGUCGGCGGCACGGGAAGUGAGACGCGGUCCAUACGCCUGCGAUAGGCAGCAGUAGGGAAUCGGACGCAAUGGGCGAGAACCUUGCGGAACGGGGGGACGUGAGUGAUGAAGAUCUUCGGAUCGUAAAGCUCUGUUUUUAGUGAAAAACAGAUGUGUAAGGAGCUGUACACAUCGUGACGGUACUUAAUCAGGAAGCAACGGCUAACUACGUG
rnacentral:rRNA from 1 species